rnacentral:ncRNA from 1 species
CAUGAAGCGAUGAGAAAGAGAGUACAUCUUAUCCUCUGUUCCUAGAGAGUCUGUCGUGGUGGAAGCAGAUAACAAGGUAAGAUGGAAGUGGGCUUUCGAGCUGUGCUUUUGAACAUUAAGUAGUAAGCACCGCGUUCCAGGCGAUAUUGGAUAAAAGUGAUCUCUUAAUCAUGGAGAUAACUAGGGUGGCACCACGGUUCAUUCGUCCCUACA